rnacentral:rRNA from 1 species
GAUAUUGGUCAAUGGGGGGAACCCUGAACCAGCGACACCGCGUGAGGGAAGAAGGUUUUCGGAUUGUAAACCUCUGUUGUCGGUGAAGAUAAUGACGGUACCCAAUGAGGAAGCCCCGGCUAACUACGUGCCAGCAGCCGCGGUAAUACGUAGGGGGCGAGCGUUGUCCGGAAUUACUGGGCGUAAAGGGUACGUAGACGGCUAUAUAAGUCAGGUGUGAAAUACCAGUGCUUAACACUGGAAUUGCAUUUGAAACUGUGUAGCUUGAGUGCAGGAGAGGAAAGUGGAAUUCCUAGUGUAGCGGUGAAAUGCGUAGAGAUUAGGAGGAACACCAGUGGCGAAGGCGACUUUCUGGACUGUAACUGACGCUGAGGUACGAAAGCGUGGGUAGCGAACA